rnacentral:rRNA from 1 species
GAUGAACGCUGGCGGCGUGCUUAACACAUGCAAGUCGAACGGAAAGGCCACAGCUUGCUGUGGUACUCGAGUGGCGAACGGGUGAGUAACACGUGGGUGAUCUGCCCUGUACUUCGGGAUAAGCUUGGGAAACUGGGUCUAAUACCGGAUAGGAAUCACAUGUGGGUGUGUGGUUGGAAAGCUUUUGCGGUAUGGGAUGAGCUCGCGGCCUAUCAGCUUGUUGGUGGGGUAAUGGCCUACCAAGGCGUCGACGGGUAGCCGGCCUGAGAGGGUGUACGGCCACAUUGGGACUGAGAUACGGCCCAGACUCCUACGGGAGGCAGCAGUGGGGAAUAUUGCACAAUGGGCGCAAGCCUGAUGCAGCGACGCCGCGUGGGGGAUGACGGCCUUCGGGUUGUAAACUCCUUUCGUCAGGGACGAAGCGAAAGUGACGGUACCUGGAUAAGAAGCACCGGCUAACUACGUGCCAGCCGCCGCCGUAACAC